rnacentral:piRNA from 1 species
UGUCCAGCAUCUGGAACUCACAUGGAAUC